AGAGUUUGAUCAUGGCUCAGGAUGAACGCUAGCUACAGGCUUAACACAUGCAAGUCGAGGGGAAACGGCAUCGAAAGCUUGCUUUUGAUGGGCGUCGACCGGCGCACGGGGUGAGUAACGCGUAUCCAACCUGCCCACCACUUGGGGGAUAACCUUGCGAAAAGUAAGACUAAUACCCAAUGACGUCUCUAGAAGACAUCUGAAAGAGAUUAAAGAUUUAUCGGUGAUGGAUGGGGAUGCGUCUGAUUAGCUUGUUGGCGGGGUAACGGCCACCAAGGCGACGAUCAGUAGGGGGUUCUGAGAGGAAGGUCCCCCACAUUGGAACUGAGACACGGUCCAAACUCCUACGGGAGGCA
rnacentral:rRNA from 1 species